rnacentral:rRNA from 1 species
AUGGAAGGAAGCAAGCCGCCGUUUCUUGCGAUCCAGCCAAGCAAAGAUCUGGGAGGCAAUCUUACAUGUGCCAGUCAACCCGCAAGGCUCACCUCCAUCCUUACGCUACUCUCGUUGCUGCUCCUUUCUUGCGGAGUCGGCAGCAUCCGCUGCUCCUCCUCAACGACGACAAUCCAUGAUAACAGCACGGACAUGAUGUCGCUGCUAGAUUUCAAGCGGGCCAUCACCACAAGUCAAGCCUUGAGAUCUUGGGACCUUGGCAUCCCCCUUUGCGGAUGGAACGGCGUCGUCUGCAGCGGCCUGGAGCACCCGGGGCGAGUCAUCAAGCUGAACCUUGUGAACCUAUCUUUGUCAGGCAUGAUUUCACCAUCCCUCGGGAAUCUAUCAUUCCUUAGGAGACUGGACCUGUCCAUUAAUGGCUUCACCGGCGAGAUACCUCCUCUCAACCGUCUCCAAAGAUUGGAGGACCUUCUCUUGGGACAGAACUCACUGCGAGGGACCAUUCCAGAUACUCUUACAAACUGCUCCAAUCUAUACGAACUAUUCCUGUCUAGCAACUUACUAAUAGGAGAAGUUCCCAGUGGUAUAGGCCGCCUAUCCAAUCUAUUGUUGUUAUUUCUUGGAGGAAAUAAUCUCACCGGAGAAAUCCCACCAAGGCUAAAAAACAGCAGUCAGCUUGAAUACAUCUUGCUUGCUGAUAAUAAGCUCACCGGAACCAUUAUUGAUGAGUUGGGAAAACUCCCAAAUCUUUCUGAAUUAAACCUUGCUGAAAAUAGGCUAUCAUGUGGAAUCCCGGAAACCCUGUACAAAUACAAUCAGUCUUCUCUCAGAUAUCUAUUCUUAGAUUCCAAUAUGCUUGGGAAAACACUGCCAUCUAACUUUGGUGAUACCAUCCUGAAUCUUAAAGUUCUCACAUUGUACGAAAAUAAUUUUGAAGGUCAUCUCCCAGCAUCACUAGGCAAUAUUUCAGGGCUAAAGUGGUUAGACUUGUCAUUCAACAAUUUCGUUGGUCAAGUUCAAAGUUCUUUUGGUAAUCUUGGACUCAUACAACACCUAGACCUUCAGCAAAACAAUUUGAUGGGCUUCAUCCCAAGAGAGCUGAGUGGCUUGCAACACCUCACCAAUCUGUAUCUAUCUGAUAAUAAUUUGGAAGGUGGGGUACCAUGA